GAUGAACGCUAGCGGCAGGCUUAAUACAUGCAAGUCGUGGGGCAGCAUGAGUGUAGCAAUACAUUUGAUGGCGACCGGCAAACGGGUGCGGAACACGUACACAACCUUCCUAUAAGUGGGGAAUAGCCCAGAGAAAUUUGGAUUAAUACCCCGUAACAUAACGAUGUGGCAUCACAUUGUUAUUAUAGCUUCGGCGCUUAUUGAUGGGUGUGCGGCUGAUUAGAUAGUUGGCGGGGUAACGGCCCACCAAGUCUACGAUCAGUAGCUGAUGUGAGAGCAUGAUCAGCCACACGGGCACUGAGACACGGGCCCGACUCCUACGGGAGGCAGCAGUAAGGAAUAUUGGUCAAUGGACGCAAGUCUGAACCAGCCAUGCCGCGUGUGUGAAGAAGGCCUUUUGGUUGUAAAGCACUUUAAGCGAGGAGGAGGCUCUUCUAGUUAAUACCUAGGAUGAGUGGACGUUACUCGCAGAAUAAGCACCGGCUAACUCUGUGCCAGCCGCCGCAGUAAAAC
rnacentral:rRNA from 1 species